UACGUAGGGUGCAAGCGUUGUCCGGAAUUAUUGGGCGUAAAGAGCUCGUAGGCGGCCUGAUAAGUAGGGGGUGAAAUCCUGCGGCUUAACCGCAGGGCUGCCUUCUAAACUGUCAGGCUAGAGCACAGUAGAGGCAGGUGGAAUUCCCGGUGUAGCGGUGGAAUGCGUAGAGAUCGGGAAGAACAUCAGUGGCGAAGGCGGCCUGCUGGGCUGUUGCUGACGCUGAGGCGCGACAGCGUGGGGAGCAAACAGG
rnacentral:rRNA from 1 species